GGAAGGCAGAAGGUUUUGCUUGGAUUUCUGGGCUGACCACGUGGCCAUACAUUCAACACUCCAAGAUGCUGUUCCUGGAGCCAGACAGUGAGUUAGGGCUGCAAACAGGAUCUGAAUGCCACCCCCCCUGCUCUGGAGAGGCCCCUCCAUGUAAACAGUACAAGUUUCUGGGAAACGUACAGAAGGCCAGACUGUUGGGAAAGG
ensembl:misc_RNA predicted gene, 27528